rnacentral:rRNA from 1 species
AGCCUUGGGAAAAGAUUUAAGGUUAUACCUGCCCAAUGUGUUUAUGUUAUGAAUGGCCGCGGUAUCUUGACCGUGCUAAGGUAGCGCAAUCAAUUGGCUCUUAAUUGGGGUCAGGAAUGAAUGGAGUUCACGGGGUUCAACUGUCUCCUAAACUAAUUACUUGAAGUUACUAUGCAGGUGAAAAAGCCUGUGCUUAGAAAAAGGACGAGAAGACCCUUAGAGUUUUUCUUAAUGUGAUAGCUAAAUAGAGGUUAUCUAUAAUGGUUUAGUUGGGGCAACAUAGGAGUAAAACAAUGAACCUCCUAAAUAUAAUGUACCGAUACUUUUAAAUGUGAAUAAACUACCUUAGGGAUAACAGCAUAAUUUUAAAAAUAAGUUUGUGACCUCGAUGUUGGACUAGGAAACUUAAAGGCUAGCCGUCUUUAAGGUAGGUUCUGUUCGAACCGUACAUUCCU